rnacentral:tRNA from 1 species
AGGUAGUAUGGCUGAUUAAGCGGUAAACUGUAAAUUUACACACAGGUAAUUCCUUGCUACCA